rnacentral:rRNA from 1 species
UACGUAGGGCGCAAGCGUUAUCCGGAAUUAUUGGGCGUAAAGAGCUCGUAGGCGGUUUGUCGCGUCUGCCGUGAAAGUCCGGGGCUCAACUCCGGAUCUGCGGUGGGGUACGGGCAGACUAGAGUGAUGUAGGGGGAGACUGGAAUUCCUGGUGUAGCGGUGAAAUGCGCAGAUAUCAGGAGGAACACCGAUGGCGAAGGCAGGUCUCUGGGCCGAUACUGACGCUGAGGAGCGAAAGCGUGGGGAGCAAACAGG